GGGGGUUGGUCCCACCCCCGGCUCGGGGAUGACCAGGGGCUAGUUAACCAGACCAUCGCGUCCACUCUCUCUGGUCACAGCGAUGAGCAGGUCACCCGAAGUGGCCUGGUGGACUCAGUCCCAGGCCUGUCCUCCGAGCUGCGUGGAAGUCGGCUGGUGUAUGUGCAGCGCCCCAGGACGGGGUGAGCCGGGCGCGGCAGAAGCUGCCUCAGGAAACCGGCUUGAGACUGGAGGUGGAAGAAAUCAGAGCUGAGAGACUUGCUUCCAUCUUCCAGGGAGUGGAUACUUGUUAUGCACAACACUUGUUUGAAGACUGUCCUUUGAACAAUCACCAAGACCAAGAUCUUCAUGAAAACAGUGGGCUUGACUGUCAGGACCUUGGCUGCUCCGGAAGAACGUUCUUUCUUGUUCAAGCUGAAGCAUUGAGGAAACUCAACCCAAGACACUGCCAGCAGCAGAAGUAUGCUGGGAGUCAGUAAGAGUGGGACACUGGAGUUGCAUUAGCCACUGGCUGGCCGUGAGGACCUGUUCCUGGUGGUAGGGGAGACACUGAUGCUCCCCAGAAGGCUGCAGUGGUGUCGUUGCUAAGAUGUUGCUGCGACAAAUGUGGUGAACGGCAGCAAGAUACAGCGGAAGGAGAGGUGGCUCUGUGCUAUCUCUGUGGAAUCUGGAAAGUAUGAGGGGAGCAGACAUACAGAGGUGGCGGAGCCAGCUAAGAAAUCAAGAGUUCAAAAGGCAUCUUCAUAUGCAAAUUGAGACGUCUCUGACAUCCGAGAGUGACUUGCAAACAUCCUGCUCUGGCUUGUCUCCCAAGGUGGACAACAUAUUGGUGACAAAUGACAUCUCUUCCACUUUCCAUGAACACAUUUUAUUCUAAAAUUCACCCCCAC